rnacentral:rRNA from 1 species
GUGCACCAGGCGAGAAACCUCCGCAAUGCACGCAAGUGCGACGGGGGAACCCCAAGUGCCACUCUUAACGGGGUGGCUUUUCAGAAGUGUAAAAAGCUUCUGGAAUAAGGGCUGGGCAAGACCGGUGCCAGCCGCCGCGGUAACACCGGCAGCUCAAGUGGUAGCCGCUUUUAUUGGGCCUAAAGCGUCCGUAGCCGGUCUGAUAAGUCUCUGGUGAAAUCCCACAGCUUAACUGUGGGAAUUGCUGGAGAUACUAUCAUGACUCGAGGUCGGGAGAGGCUGGAGGUACUCCCAGGGUAGGGGUGAAAUCCUGUAAUCCUGGGAGGACCACCUGUGGCGAAGGCGUCCAGCUGGAACGAACCUGACGGUGAGGGACGAAAGCCAGGGGCGCGAACCGGAUUAGAUACCCACGUAGUCC